rnacentral:misc_RNA from 1 species
AGCAGCCGCGGUAAUUCCAGCUCCAAUAGCGUAUAUUAAAGUUGCUGCAGUUAAAAAGCUCGUAGUUGAAUUUCGGGACUAAUAUGUCGGUCGUGCCUCGGUACGUACUGGUUUAUUGGUUUCUCCUUUCUGAAGAACCAUGAUGUCAUUUAUUUGGUGUCGUGGGGAAUCAGGACUGUUACUUUAAAAAAUUAGAGUGUUUAAAGCAGGCUCACGCUUGAAUACAUUAGCAUGGAAUAAUGAAAUAGGACGUUUGAUUCUAUUUUGUUGGUUUCUAGGAUCGACGUAAUGAUUAAUAGGGAUAGUUGGGGGCAUUAGUAUUCAAUUGUCAGAGGUGAAAUUCUUGGAUUUAUUGAAGACUAACUACUGCGAAAGCAUUUGCCAAGGAUGUUUUCAUUAAUCAAGAACGAAAGUUAGGGGAUCGAAGACGAUCAGAUACCGUCGUAGUCUUAACCAUAAACUAUGCCGACUAGGGAUCGGAUGAUGUUAAUUUUUAAUGACUCAUUCGGCGCCUUACGGG